GAUGAACGCUGGCGGCGUGCCUAAUACAUGCAAGUCGAGCGAACGGACGAGAAGCUUGCUUUUCUGAUGUUAGCGGCGGACGGGUGAGUAACACGUGGAUAACCUACCUAUAAGACUGGGAUAACUUCGGGAAACCGGAGCUAAUACCGGAUAAUAUUUUGAACCGCAUGGUUCAAAAGUGAAAGACGGUCUUGCUGUCGCUUAUAGAUGGAUCCGCGCUGCAUUAGCUAGUUGGUAAGGUAACGGCUUACCAAGGCAACGAUGCAUAGCCGACCUGAGAGGGUGAUCGGCCACACUGGAACUGAGACACGGUCCAGACUCCUACGGGAGGCAGCAGUAGGGAAUCUUCCGCAAUGGGCGAAAGCCUGACGGAGCAACGCCGCGUGAGUGAUGAAGGUCUUCGGAUCGUAAAACUCUGUUAUUAGGGAAGAACAUAUGUGUAAGUAACUGUGCACAUCUUGACGGUACCUGAUCAGAAAGCCACGGCUAACUACGUG
rnacentral:rRNA from 1 species